rnacentral:rRNA from 1 species
UACAGAGGGUGCAAGCGUUGUUCGGAUUCACUGGGCGUAAAGGGUGCGUAGGUGGCAGGGUAAGUUUGAUGUGAAAUCUCCGGGCUUAACCCGGAAACUGCAUUGAAUACUAUCCUGCUCGAGGUUUGGAGGGGGGACUGGAAUUCUCGGUGUAGCAGUGAAAUGCGUAGAUAUCGAGAGGAACACCAGUGGCGAAGGCGAGUCCCUGGACAACACCUGACACUGAGGCACGAAAGCUAGGGGAGCAAACAGG